rnacentral:lncRNA from 1 species
GUCCGGAGCUCAGACUUAAAAAUAAAGCUUCAGGCACAUCCCAGCUCUUCCCAGCCCUCUGCUUGCAAAGCUAACAUGGCCUUGAGCAGUCUUAAUCCUGAACCUACCUGGGAAAUCCCCUUCUUCCAACAGGGGCAUAGUUCUGGCUGACUCUGGAGCCCAGCUGGUGCACGUGGAUUGGGAUCAAGAGGACAAGUUUGUGAAUCAAGGGGCUCUGGGCAAAGGGAAACUUUUGCUGGAGGAAACAGAAGCAUUGAAGACUCGUCUAUGCCAAGGCUUCUGCUAGAAUGAACUUAUCCAGAGGUGACAGUCUUCUGAAAACACCAGCUUUUGUCCUUUCCCAGGAAAGUCCACCUCUAGAACACUCAGACGAGAAACCAGAAAAUAUGGAUUUGGCAAAGAAAUGGUAGCCCAACACCAUCCUUUGGAAGCGAUUAAAAGCAACCGGCCAACAACAAAUCAACAAUAUUUGUAAAAAGAGCCUAUUUUAUUUUAUCUUAUUAUUUUUUUUCAAAAAUACAGACAUUACUCUUUAUUACAACAAAAUGCUUAUCACAAUAUAAGUGCACAGGAAAUAUUUGAUUAGUGGUAUCUUUAAAAUUUAAUUUAACUGUGGUAACAAAAUUUAAUCAUAAACCUGGC